rnacentral:rRNA from 1 species
CCCUUAGAUGUUCUGGGCCGCACGCGCGCUACACUGACGAAGUCAGCGAGCAUGUCCUACGCCGACAGGUGCGGGGAAUCUUGUCAAACUUCGUCGUGAUGGGGAUUGAUUAUUGAAAUUCUUGAUCAUCAACGAGGAAUUCCUAGUAAGCGCGAGUCAGCAGCUUGCGUUGAUUACGUCCCUGCCCUUUGUACACACCGCCCGUCGCUACUACCGAUUGAAUGGUUUAGUGAGAUCUUCGGAUUGGCGCCACUGCGGCUCAGCAAUGGGCUCGGUGGAUGCCGAAAAGUUGAUCAAACUUGAUCAUUUAGAGGAAGUAAAAGUCGUAACA